GGAGGUUCUCGGGUGAUGCACCCUGGAGUCGGGCUCCCUCCUCUCUGUUUCUGGCUGCAUCACCCUAGAACCUCA
rfam:Myotis lucifugus cont2.28517, whole genome shotgun sequence.